UACUUACCUUCUGACACAUUAAUGUUUGGCAUAUAGUUAUUGACUUACUUUAUAUCUCCUUUAUUAGAUUAUUCUUUUCAUGAGGGCAGAGCCAUUUUUUUCAUUCCAAUGAAACCCCAUUAUCAGCACCUAGGACAGGGUUUUCAGUAUGGGGCCCGUUGAAAGAUGUUUCUCUGUGAAUUUUUCCAAUCAUGUGUGCUUUGAAAAGAGACUGGAUAACGUUGAAAAGACAGAGGAACAAAUGUGAGAUAAUGAAGAAUGGACUGAUCUGAGGGAAUUCUAACUCAAGGAAAUUUAGAGAAAGAUUUAAUCACAUAAGGUUCUGUGUUGGAGCUGUCUUCUUCUCACGAAGAUCCCUUGAGGAAAAAGAAUAUGAGGAAUGCUACAAAUUGGGGUGGAUUCUCCUUGGUUUAUCAGAGGAUGAAGAGAGACAGGAGGGAACUUGGAUAAAAGCAAAUUCCUGCCUUUCCUGGAGCCAAAUGAGGGUGCCCUGCUGGAUCUAUUUUGCUAAGUGAUCAGCUUUAUCUAAGGGGAAGAGAAAUGCACAGGCCUUUUAUAUUUCAACCUGGAUUUUGAGCCUCACUCUUCAUUUUUGUAGCUAUUUAUGGAUUUGGGUGCCUAAAGGGAGUUUAUUGAACAGCGUCCCCCAAAACACCAGUGCUUGAAUGAAUGAUGAAUGAUGAAUGAAUGAAAAAAAUUAAAUACUAUGUGCCAA
rnacentral:lncRNA from 1 species